rnacentral:rRNA from 1 species
GUGAGGAAUAUUGCGCAAUGGGCGAAAGCCUGACGCAGCGACGCCGCGUGGAGGAUGAAGGUCUUCGGAUUGUAAACUCCUGUCGAGUGGGACGAAUGCCGUGAGGGUGAACAAUCCUUACGGUUGACGGUACCGCUGGAGGAAGCCCCGGCUAACUCCGUGCCAGCAGCCGCGGUAAUACGGAGGGGGCUAGCGUUGUUCGGAAUCAUUGGGCGUAAAGGGCGCGUAGGCGGCCGAUCAAGUCGGAGGUGAAAUCCCUCGGCUCAACUGAGGAAUUGCCUUCGAUACUGUUCGGCUUGAGUCCUGGAGAGGGUAGCGGAAUUCCCGGUGUAGCGGUGAAAUGCGUAGAGACCGGGAAGAACACCAGUGGCGAAGGCGGCUACCUGGACAGGUACUGACGCUGAAGCGCGAAAGCUAGGGGAGCAAACAGGAUUAGAAACCCUUGUAGUCC